rnacentral:rRNA from 1 species
ACACACACUUCAGAGUUUGAUCCUGGCUCAGGAUGAACGCUAGCGGCAGGCUUAACACAUGCAAGUCGAGGGGCAGCAUGGGACGGAGAUUCGUCGAAGUCCUGAUGGCGACCGGCGCAAGGGUGCGUAACGCGUGAGCAACUUGCCCGUUUCAGGGGGAUAACCGGUGGAAACGCCGACUAAUACCCCAUAGCAUUGGUUUGAGGCAUCUCUUACCAAUUAAAGAAUUUCGGAAACGGAUAGGCUCGCGUGACAUUAGCUGGAUGGCGGGGUAACGGCCCACCAUGGCGACGAUGUCUAGGGGUUCUGAGAGGAAGGUCCCCCACACUGGAACUGAGACACGGUCCAG